GGGACCUCGCGGCACCCUCCGCUCCCCGGCGCGGCGCCGGAAGCUGCCGGGCCGGGCCCUCCCCGCGGCGCCCGCCGCCUUAUCUCGGCGCCUCGGGGCCGCAGGCGGAGCGGCAGCGCGCCGGGAGCGAGGCGGCCGCGGCAUGGGCCGGGGGCCCCGGGGCGCGGGCCGCCCGCCUCGCCGCCUGCUCCCCCUCCUGCUGCUGCUCGGCCUGGCCCGCGGCGCCGCAGCAGCGCCGGGCGCGGACGAUGUGUGUGCUACUUGCCAUGAACAUGCUACCUGCAAGCAAAGAGACGGAAAGAAGAUGUGCAUUUGCAAAUACGGAUUUGUGGGCAAUGGGAGGACUCAGUGUAAUGAUAAAAACGAGUGCCAGUUUGGAGCCACCGUGGUCUGUGGGAACCACACAUCUUGCCACAACACGCUCGGAGGCUUUUACUGCAUUUGCUUAGAAGGGUAUCGAGCCACAAACAACAACAAGACAUUCAUUCCCAAUGAUGGCACCUUUUGCACAGAUGUAGAUGAGUGUGAGGUUUCCGGCCUGUGCAGGCAAGGAGGACGGUGUGUGAACACUCACGGCAGCUUUGAAUGCUACUGUUUGGAUGGAUACUUACCAAAGAGCGGGCCCGAGCCUUUCCACCCGACCAGAGAUGCCACAUCAUGCACAGAAAUAGACUGUGGUGCCCCUCCUGAAGUCCCAGAUGGUUAUAUCAUAGGAAAUUAUACCUCUAGGCUUGGCAGCCAGGUUCGUUAUACCUGCAAAGAAGGAUUUCUCAGUGAUUCAGAAGAUACAGUUUCAAGCUGCACAGCCUUGGGCACAUGGGAGUCCCCCAAAUUAAACUGCCAAGAGAUCAGCUGUGGCCGCCCUCCGGAAGUGCAGCAUGCGGUCCUGGUGGGGAAUCCCAGCUCCAGCCUGGGCAGUGUGGCUCACUACGUCUGUCAAGAGGGCUUUGAGAGCCCUGGAGGAAAGAUCACUUCUGUUUGUACAGAGAAAGGCACCUGGAGAGAAAGUACUUUGAUGUGCACAGAAAUAAUUACAGAAAUUAAUGAUGUAUCUGUGUUUAAUAACACCUGUGUGAGGUGGCAAGUAAAUCCAGGGAGAAUAAACUCUAGGAUUGUCUAUGUGAUACACAUAAAAGGACAGCGGCUGGACCCUGUGGCAUCAGUUCAUGAGGAGACAGUCAACUUGACCACAGCCAGCAGGACCCCAGAAGUGUGCCUAGACCUGUACCAAGGCACCAACUACACCAUGAGCAUUUCCACGGCCCCUCCUACACACUCUGUGCCGGCCGUCAUUGGGUUCCAGACAGCAGAAGAUGACCUCUUAGGAGAUGAUGGAAUGUUCAAUAUUUCAAUAUUUAAUGAAGCUUGUUUGAAACUGAACAGGCACUCUAGGAAGGUUGGAUCAGAACAAGUGUACCAAUUUAAAGUUCUGGGUCAAAGGUGGUAUCUGAGUCAUUUUUAUCACUCAACAUCAUUUAACUUCACAACGAGGGAACAAGCUCCUGUGGUAUGUUUGGAUCUGUAUCCAGCCACUGAUUACACAGUGAAUAUCACCCUGCUGGGAUCCCCCAGGCAGCACUCAGCCCAAAUAAUGAUGACAACUGCCCCAGCAGUAAAACAGACCAUUGGUAACAUUUCAAUAUUUAAUGAAACCUGCUUGAGAUGGAGAAGCAUGAAGACAGCUGACACAGAGGAGAUGUAUUUAUUCCACGUUCAGGGCCAGCGAUGGUAUCAGAAGGAAUUUGUCCAGGAAAUGACCUUUAAUAUCACUACCAGCAGCCGGGCUCCAGAGAUGUGCUUGGACCUGCGCGCAGGGACCAACUACAGCGUUGGCAUCCAGGCUUUGUCCUCUGGACUUCCUGCGGUCAUCUCCCUGACAACCCAGAUAACAGAGCCUCCCCUCCCGGAAGUGGACUUCUUCGCAGUGAAUGGAGGGCCCCUACCACACCUGAGACUGAGGAAAGCCACAGAGGAAAAUGGACCUAUCAGUUCUUAUCAGGUGUUAGUACUUCCCCUGGCUCUCCAAAGCACAUUUGCUUGUGACUCUGAAGGGCCCACCUCAUUCUUCAGCAACACUUCUGGUGCUGAUGGAUACGUGACUGCAGAACUACUGGCCAGAGAUGUUCCAGAUGAUACGCAGAUAUCUAUCGGAGACAGGCUGUACUAUGGGAGAUAUUAUAAUGCACCCUUGAAAAUAGGGAAUGAUUACUGCAUUAUCUUACGAGUGACAAGUGAAUGGAAUCAGGUGAGAAGAAGCACGUGUGCAGUUUGGGCUCAGGUGAAAGAUUUCAUACCCUUGAGGGAGGGCAUUUGAAGAGCUGCAGCAGUGCCCAGCACACAGUAGAUUCGUCGCUCAUGCUGCAGCAGAUGGUGGGCGCUGGCCUGGGCUCUGUGGCGGUUGUGAUCGUUCUGGCAUUCCUCUCCUUCUCAGCAAUGUGAUGGGCACUACAUGGGGAGGAUGCGGUGCUACGGGGGCAGAUGUUCUGACAGCCUCUUGGGUGCCUGCACAGAGACCUCCUGGGACUCUCAUCCAGGCGUGUGUGUGGGUCUGCAGCCUUCUCCAUUCCCAGCCUGGCCCCGUUUCUGGAUUCAAGACUGUGACUAUUUCUAUGGAAUCCCUCACAAGGUGGAAACUCAGGAAUUGCUGACAUCUUCCCCGCUUCGUGACCAGUUCUGUGUCUGUGGGCUUGAGACCCUUGAUAUACAAUGUCAUAUUGACCCAGACUACAGAUCACAUGGGCUGGGCCGGUGUCUUCCCUGAGUGAUGCCUGAGAGCACCUCUAGACAUUGAGUGCAAGAGAGCCUCUGCAUCUUCCUUUAUAGCAUCUCUGUUAAUUAAUUCAAAAUCCAUUCUUUUACAAUAAUCAAUGAGAGGGACUUAAGUUUGGGCUAGAAUUUGACUUUCUGAAGGAGGUCAUGGAAGAGGAUAGAGAUCACAUACAGAGACAAACUGUCAAACACCUUUGAGCAGCCAUUUUCCUACAGUUAGUUGACAUACUAACUGGAAGUGUGCGAACCUGGCCUCUCCACUAAGUUGCCUGCCUUGUCUGGUAGGCACCAACCAUUGCUUUGAUACACUUCCAUUUGUCUUAUAGCUAUUCAAAAGCCCUAAAGUCACUCCAGUAAACAUAUUCUGUUACUUUAGACAUUUGUCUGUUCCACAGGAAUGUUUGUAGCAGCCUUGAGUGAUUUUUUAUUAUGAGUGUCUCCUAAAAAUGCUCUGUGCCUCCCUUUACGUUCGGUGCUCAUAUUGGGUUGAAAUGAUCUCAAGCCCAUGGCCAGAGUCCAUGUGUUUACAGGGGAGGGGGAACAAUGUGGGUGACACAGUCAUCCCUUUAAUCUACAAUGUCAGUAACUCUGUGACUUUAUCAUGAGCCAUGACACAUUAGUUGUAAGCAAUACUGGGCCUACUGUCAAUAUGCUGAGUUUACAGGUGGAGUGUGUUAGGUUUGACUGUUAAGGCCUGAAUCCGUAUUCUUUAACUUCCCUCCCUAACCAACAGUGUACCAACAGUGUUACUCCAAGGCUCAGUUAGAAACAAAUGCAGAAGAAACACAGAGGCUGUAGCUUCUCUAAGUAACCGCAUUCCCCUCCCUUUACUCCCUCCCUUUCUGGGCCCAGACAAUAAAAAGCAUGGGGGGUUUGCGGGGAACAGUUCUCUUACGCAACCCCAGCGUCUAGCAUAUAUGAACCUGGUCCUGGAAUUGUGCAACAUCACGGUCCUGAGGAAGAGGAAUGGUCCUUCUGCCACGGUGGGCUGGUGUGCUCUUCACCAGCACACUGGGCAUUGAGGAGGGACAGAUGUGAGCAGCCUGGGCUUGUGGGCAGAUGAGGAGAGAGUAGGAACCGGUGAAAACUGUCUAUGAAGCUGGCCCAAAGUGUAUCCACCCAACUGGGAAGAGUCAGGGGAGGGAAGUGAUGCCUGACUCUUGGGUGCUCAGUGCCAGCCCCGGGCCCCUGCCAGUACUGGGCAGUAUUGGGAAUAACUGUCCUUUUCCUCUGAGAUACUACCUCAGACUACAAAUUACGAUCCGCAUUUAGAACCCUUCCUGCUCUCAGAUGAACUGCAGAGUAGAGCUCUCAGUAAACUAAUGCAAACAGCUUUCUACUUUUGAUUUUUAUGUACAACAAUUCAAACUCAUACUGUUUUCUCUUGAAUUAAACUUGGAAUCUUACAAGUUAUUAUGAUUAAAUAUUGGAUAGGGUGUCUGAUGAGUAAGGAUUUUCCUCAAAGCCUCUUCUAUCCAAAGAGAGAAUCUGGGCCUUUCCGUCUUCUUCUUAUGAACUGGUUCUGUAAAUACCAUGUGUUUCUAUAGCCUCCCUAAUUUCCAGCUCUGGAAUUAACUGCCAAAGAAGCUACAGUUGUCCACAUGGAACUUAGCAUAAUUGUCAUUGAAGGGAAGAAAUCCCACUUGCUUAACAUUAAAAUUUUAUGGUUAAAAUAACUGAUUAAAUGUUAAGUAAUAAGUAAAACAUACUUCUGGGUACAAUGCAGAAAUGUAAAAACAGUUCAUGAAAUCGGAGUACCAAAAUAGCAAAAAACAUGGACUUUGUCACUGCCUCUAAAUGUUCCAAAUUUCAGAGCUUUUGUUCAGCAUUAAUACUUAACAGGAGCAGGCAAGAAGCAUUUGCAAAAAGGAUGUCCCAUUUUUCUGCAUUUCUUUUCUAAUUUCCUCAUAAACAUGAAGGCAGCUUUACAUUUUCUGAGCUCACGUGGUAGAUUUAUAACAAUGCUGUUCUUUUUUACCAAGUGGAUUCUUGGUUAAGGUGGGGAGGGCCUCCCAGGAGACCAAGAAUGGAUCUCCCUGGGAGAGCACAGGGUCCUUCCAUUGAAGGUCUGAUCAGGUAGCACUCUGAGUUGGAUUAUGAGUACCACUAAAUACAGCUAGAUCCUAAGGUGGGGGUAGAGGAAGGAUCUUCGCCCUGUUACCUGUCUUGGAGACAGCAUGUAGAGGUGAGCAGAAGGAUCCAGUCUUAAGCUCCCUUCUAGAUUAGGAUUCAAAACUGGGGAGUUGCCCAGACUGUUCCCUGGCUGGUUUUGUGUGUGCCCACAGUUUUUAUUUAUCUCCACCACAGUUUCUGUUUAUACACGUUCUUCCAUUCCAUUCACACAACAGUUCUGUGUGCUGGGAAGGUUCGGUUUAUCUCUUUCCCCGUGUUAGAAUGGGGAGGUGGGGGUCAGACAGACACAUGACUUAAAUUGUGGAGCCAAAGCUGACUGCAAGUCUAGUUCUCAUUCCUAGGAUUUGAUAGGCCUUGAGCAAAUCUUUGGACAGCUCUUUUGGUUCUUGGGAAAUUGAGUCCUUUACAUUUCAUACAUACUUAUAUAUUCAACCAUUGCCUAUACUGUUAUAGCACAUGUGUCUUUUUAUAUCUGUCUUUUCACUGUGAAGUUCCUCCUCCCAUCACUUCUAGAAGGAGCCACAACCAACCAAACCAAUCGAUGGAAGUUAAUUAAGGGGAAUAAGUACUAGUCCAUCUCUGGCUCAGGACCACCUGAAAUUGCAGUUGGGCACUUAAGAUUUAAGACCAGAGCAGAAGUUAUUAUCUUGAAAUUCUGCAUUAGCUUAAAGUUAAUAUUUAAAUCGAUUUUAAAGGAAGUUAAAAAGAAAUUCUCAAUGUUCCCUUUUUAUUGCUAACCUCAUAUUCUUAUUUUCUAAGCCUUCUGUUUUUUCAUUCUAUUCAUCUAAGAGAAAACUGGUGGUGGUAGUAGUCAAUCAAAUAAUGUUUUAAGGGCCUUUUGCCUACCACACCGUUGCUGGUAUGUGAUUAAAUUGAAGUUCCUGAUUUUGGAGAGGAAAGAGGGUGUUGCUUUUUCUGUGCCCUGGCUCGUGGGCCUGUGAUCCAAUGAAGCAAAUCAUGUGAAAAAGCAGUGUAUGCUCAUGUUUUUCAGAGAGAGAGAGAGAGAGAGAGAAAGAGAAUGAAUCAUUUUUGUGAUAUAUGUGUGUACCACAUCCAUGUUUCCAUAUCCAUACAUUCUUGGCACAGCUCAGGGUUGCCAAAAUGGGUCAAACUAUGCAUGUCAUUUUGUAACAUGCUGCUUUUGUUUAUCAGCAUACCCUGGACACAUUUUUUAUGUCAGGAAUGAUUGCAUUAAAUCUCAUAUCCUAAUUUAUUUGACCAAUACUCUAUUGUGUGUUGUGCAUUUGGAGUGUUUCCAGAUGUUUACUACUUUCAUACAAGUCUGUAUAAUUGUACGCAAUUGUCAAGUAGGCAACUAUUCCUGGAAGUGAAAUUGUUGGAAUGAAUUGUUGGAAUGAAAACUACAUACAUUUUAUGCUGACCACAUAAUGUCAGAGGAACCUCAGAGAAACUUUAUGCCAAUUUACAUGCACCAACAGAAAACCUCAACACCAUUCGGCAUUGUUGAUACCUUUAAUCUGGCAGGUGAAAAUGAUGUUUCAGUGUUUUGUUGGCAUUUCUCUGACUACUUUGCAUACUGAUCCGUCAUUUAUAAUUCUGUCUUGGUGAAUUGCCUUUUUUCCCAGCCCAGGAUUGUUUGUCUUUUGUUGAUUUGAAAAAGUACUUUGUAUCAUAGUAAUUUUCACUUGUUGCUGUCAUAUAUUUCAUGAACAAAUUUUCUAGUUAAUCCUUCAGUUCCUUUUUGACUUCGUUUGAGUCAUAUGUUGUCACACAAAAACCUUAAAUUUGUAUCAUCAAAUUUAUCAGUCACUUUCCUUCAUAUUUUGCUUUUGGUGCCAUGCUUAGAAGAACCCUCCAAUUUCAAGGUAAUAAAUGUAACUCAGCAGUUAAACAUUUAAAUCUUUAAUCCAUCUGAAAUUUAUUUUAGCAUAAGGAGUGAGGUUUGGCGGAAUCUUUUUUUGUUGCUAAAUGGUUUCAGCCUGUUGUCCUGCUAAUAGUCAUUGACUGCUAUUUUUUCCCUUUGGGAUUUGAAUCAUAGACUAAAGUGUAUUUCUGAAACUUUCUCUUGUUCUUCCAACCUAUUUCUGGGCUCAUACUAUCUGCUGUAACUUUAA